GCGACAUUUAAAGACAGGACAAACCUAAUUGACUAAGGUAAAUACUGAUGCUCACAUGUGUAUAAAUAUGUAUCAUCAAUAUAAAUGUUUUGAUAUAUAAUAGAAAUAUUGUUAACUUCUUAUUUCUGUCAUCUUAAAAAAAUAGGUGACCAAAGUGAAUCCAAAUCGAUUACAUAAGUCAUCGAUCCCAAAGAAUAUAAAAGCCAAAGAGACAGUGCACGACGUGUACACAAAUGACUGAAGAUCAAAGAAGUGAAGUUAAUAGGAUGCAACGUGAAUCAUAUCUUUCCUUAAUAUUUAAAGAUGAAAAUUUCAGUCUGCCCGGUGGUUUUAUCCGUUCAUCCGUUCACCUAUAUACUACCGGUGGUUUUAUCCGUAGCCUCAAAUUUCGUCUGGACUCAAAUUUCGUCUGGCCUCCCUAACAUCCGAAUAGGAUACAAAUACAAAACAUGUGAUUUUUUAAAUUAAAAUCCGAAACAUUAGAGUCCCCUCAUCGUGGACCGGACAGAGGAACAAAUAGAGAGACACAAGAGGAGUAGAGUACCAAAUCGAGACCAUCACCACUGAGAAUGAAUCAAAAACACCAUAUCGAUCCAAAAACAAGUUAAUCCAUACACGAAUCGAUCGAGGAGAAAAUUAAAGAAAUAUAAUCGAAACAAGAAAAUCAGAUAAAGCAUCAAAGAGGGUCAUGCUUCUAGGGCGCCUGCAUCGCCGGUCAGGUCCGCCUGUGCCGCCAGCUUGGCGUUGGCCGGCCCGGGUGCCCGUGCCGUCGCCUCCCCACAAGCACGCAUCCAGAUACACCUAUGUCGCCGGCCAGGUCUUCCGCGCACAUCGGCCAUGUGCGCCUGUGUCACUGCCUCCGGGAAGCCUGGCCAGGCCUAAUUCGCACACGGUGGAAGAAAGGAGGAGUAGGGAGGAGCAACGGCUAGAUGGGUGAGCGGCAUAGGCAAGCUACGCUAGCACUGGCAUCAGCUGUCGUACCGACGAACGAGUGUGAGCGAGGAACUUCGUGAGCGAGCGGCGGCCAUGCCUGUUCGUGUGUCCUGGACAUGUGUGUUUCUUUAUUAAUCAUAUUGAAGAAAUGUGGCACACGUACAUGGGCUAGGGCAAAGGCCCAAUAUUUAACAACCGACCAAGGCCAACCCAAAUUUGUUCAAAAAAAAUAUUCAUUGUACUACAAAAUUAUAAUAAAGAAAAAUAAAUAUUUAAAAUAAUAUAUAUCUAUAUACCUCUGUAUAACUAAUAUUAAAUACUUCCUGCGUUCCAAAUUAUAAGUCAUUCCAAGAAUCUUGGAGAGUCAAAACAUUUUCAAAUUUGACCAAAAAUAUAGAGAGAAAUAUAAAGAUUUAUGUCAUAAAAUAGGUAUGAAAAUAUAACUAAUAAAGAAUCUAAUGAUACUUGGUUGGUACUAAAAAUGUUAUUAUUUUGCUAUAUAAAUUUGGUCAAACUUAAAAAACUUUGACUCUCCAAGAUAUGACUUAUAAUUUGGGACGGAGGGAGUAGCUAACAUUUAUGCUCAUUCUUUUGGUAUGACCCUCUCCUAAUCUACAUCUAUUAAUAAAGAGACAAAAUUUUAGUGUUUUUUCGCUCAUCCAUUUUUGGUCCGUCUCCCUCCGAUUACCAGACAAUAGAGACGUUCAGACUUCACGAUACAGAUUCGAUUCCAAAACUUAAUCGUGUAUGUGACCCGGACUCAAUUUUCUUGUGAUAAACUGCAUAGAUAAGAAUUCUAAUCUUAAUAGAGCGCUUAGUAUAUAUAUUUUUCCAUAUAUAUAAUAUAUAAUUGUGAAAAUUUCAGUUCACCAUAUCUUUAUAUGUCCGCCGGUCUAAAGAUUAAUUAAACGAUGCUCCUCUUUGUUCGGAUCUGGUUUCCUAUUAUUUUUAGCUUAUUUUCUGUUUAUGGCACGAGGACUCCUGGUCCAAUUGACUUAGGGAAAGAAAAGAAAAGUUAUGUGCUGAAUCUAACUCGGAAGCCUAACACGAGUUUAAACCAAUUUUAGAUCGAAACAAGGGAAUGGUUGGGCUCGACCAAAAUCCAAAACGACCAGAAAUUUUGUCUUUUUAUUAUUAGAGAAGAAGAAGAAAGAACUACAUAUUAGGACUUUGAUUUUUCUUUUGUCUCCGAUUGGCAUCUAAUUAAAUAAAGAAAACGGAUCAAAAUAAAGAACAUAAUUCUUAUCCUUUUCUAUUUGACUAUUAAGAGUACUUGGGAUGUGAGAAAUCUAUUUAUAUUAGGACUCUUAUUCCAUAUUGGUUUAGACACAAGUUAUUCUAACUCGUAUGAGCGGUUAUAUAUAUGAGUCCAGGUAAGAGAAACUCUCCAUCGUUCGGUAGUUAAAGGAAAACAGACAAAAAAAACAUGGAUGGACGAAAAAAGGAGCCUAAAAUUUUGCCUCUUUAUUAUUAGAUAUAGAUAUAUAUAAUUAGGUAAUAGAGAUAUAGAUAUAAAUUUGAUAUUUUUUCUCCCGUUGCAACGCACGGGCAUGUUUUGCUAGUCAUAAAAAAAGACCAAAUCUAUAUUGCCCGAAGAAUCCGAAGGUCACAUUGCAUAUAAUAACCAUUGUACCUACAAUACCCUUUCAUUUUCUUAUAAUAGUACUAUAAUGUGGAACUUAUUUAUAGAUGUCUAUGAUGGGUGAAUUGAAGUUCUUCCUCGGUUCUCAAAGAACUUUCAUAUGCUAAACGAAGUACAAAUAGACGAGAUCUCCCACUUGACAUUCUCUCCCUAAUCUAUGUUUAUCGCCAUGAUGCUUCAUUCUUCAUCGAGCUCUUAACAAUUGUUGUUGAAUCAACUUUUUCAUUAAAUUUCUCUCAUAUAGCCAAGCAAAUAAGUUUUAUGACACUUUCAUUGUCACACAAGAGUGGUAUUGUGGUAAAGCGACAUCCGAAAUCACGAAGGUUUGCCUUGUCCAAAUUUUGUAACUCUAUUUUUUUUGAGUGGAUGUAACUCUACUGUAAUUCUUCAAUUUUAUCCUAGAUUCCCUCCAGAGGCCUGAAUCUAUCUAUUUCUGCUCUUUGCUUUACAAGUUAGUGACAAUGGCCCAUGAGGCUCUGCCUUGCUGCCGCCGGCUUAAGAGAUUUUGGGCCAAGAAUCACACGGGCCUUUUCUGACGAAGCACAAAAUAGAAUAUCGGGGAGAGCAUUCGUGGUAGCGAAGCGAGCAUCUGCAUCGUGUGGCCGCCGUUCGUCGGGACACCGCAACCCAACCCCGUUCGGAUAGAUAGCCGGCCGCCCGCCUCCCUCCCUUCUCCCCACCACACCUCCACUGACAAGCCGCCGCCGCUGCUCUUCCACGCCCCCACCGCACCUCUCCCGGCCUCGCACCCAUGGCCACGGCUAUGAUGGCUGCAUCCACCACCUCGUGCUCUCCGCGCCGUGCUGCGCCGGUCCUGAAGCCGGUGGCCUCCUCCUCCUCCUCCUCCAGCAGCAGCUCGGCGCGGCCGCGGCGGCCCUUGGCGCAGCAGCUCCCGCGGCUGCUGGCGACGGCGGCGGCGGCGGUGGCUGCAGCGCCGCUCCCGGUGCUGGCGGAGCAGAUGGAGAAGGCCCAGCUGUUCGACUUCAACCUGACGCUCCCGGCGAUCGCGACCGAGUUCCUGCUGCUCAUGGUGGCGCUGGACAAGCUCUACUUCACGCCCCUGGGCAAGUUCAUGGACGAGCGGGACGCCAAGAUCCGCGGCGAGCUCGGCGACGUCAAGGACGCCUCCGAGGAGGUGAAGCAGCUGGAGGACCAGGCGGCCGCCAUCAUGAAGGCGGCGCGCGCCGAGAUCGCGGCGGCGCUCAACAAGAUGAAGAAGGAGACCACCGCGGAGCUGGAGGGCAAGCUGGAGGAGGGCCGCAGCCGCGUGGAGGCCGAGCUCGUCGAGGCGCUCGCCAACCUCGAGGCGCAGAAGGAGGAGGCCGUCAAGGCGCUCGACGCGCAGAUCGCCUCGCUCAGCGACGAGAUCGUCAAGAAGGUGCUCCCAUCCGCGUGAGGGAACCAAACCAGCGAGCCGGCGGGCGUUCCUUUCUUUAGCUUUCUGAUGAUCAGUGUGUAUACGCUUGUCGGGCUGCCGUCCAUGGGCGGCCGCGGCCCUGCCUUCUUAUCUUAUGACUGUAAUUGCAUCGAGAAAAUAAACGAAUGAUAAUUUUGAAGAAAUCUCAGACUCUGUACUCAACUACUCAUGAAAGAUUACUGGAUGGUGCUGUGUUCACCGCCUGUGUUGGAUUGCUGGCAGACUCGCAGUGAGGUUUACUUGAUACGCUUGUGCAACUAGUGAUUGCAACCAUUAAAACCAUAGGAUACAUUUCGUCCUAGUGAUUUACCAUUCAAUCUUAAGUUAUAUCCAAUCCAAAUGAUUCUUCAUUUGGCACUAAUAUGUAACUCGGCUCACUCGCUAUUCGUUCUAGGCCUUGAGCCAAGUUCAAAGUUGGAUCAUGCUCUGGGCACUCUCGAACCAUCUCAGAUCUUCAACUGCAACCAUCAUGCCUCAAUGGGUCCUUACUCAUCAUCAUCAUCUUCUUCCUCUGAGCGUGAGAUCUCAUCGCUGCUACUCUCGCAGCCUCUUAACACCUGUUUCAGAAGAGGAGACCAACUAUGAGUUCAUUUAAUUUAUUACGACAGUGGGUGACUCUGAAGAAGGGGAAAAUUAAAGGUUGCAUAUGCGCGUUGAACGCUGAUGGGCAGUUUUUAGGCCCCUAAUGGAAAGGCACAAGAGAAACAGCCAAAAGUGUCUCUGAAAUUGCAUAUACAUGCAUCGAUUAAAAGCUCAUGCCUUUGAAGGAUAUUGCAUAAUGCAUCAAAAGCUCAAAACAUUCAUAAUUAUUACCUCUUUGCUCUGGGUAAUGGCGCUGCCUGCAAGCCGUGUCUUCCUAAGCUUAUCGAUGUAUGAAUAAUCCUUUCGCAGACAGCGUGUGUACAUAAUCAUCAGAUGCUUAGUAACCUGCUUGGGAGAAGAGAGAAGGUUAAGUGUCACGGCAGCUUUAAACGGAAACAAAUUAACUGGAUGACUCCACACAACAAUGAACAAUAAUCAACAUCAUCUUUUGGCAAUUGAGUAGAAGAAUGCAAUAUAACUCAUCCAAUUUAUUAGUCAUCUAUAUAUGUUGAGAUGUAUAUUCUUCUAUAUUGAUAUAUAUUUUGAGAUAUAUAUACAGGCAUACAUACAGCUUCAAACAGAAGAUCAGCUGUAACGGGGGGAAGGCCCCAUAAAAUUUUUAUUUCAGGAAAGCAAAUUAAGUUGCAAUAAUAUGCAAAGCUGUGCAGGGGUAGGCAAUAGGCAAGCACUAUCCUCAAUUCCUCAUAACUGUGUGAUAGUAACAAUUAUUCUUUGUUUCUACUUGGAUGUAGGUCAGAAUUAUUAUCUAAAUUCUGAAGGCAAUGCCCUGUGUGUUUUUUUAAACAUGUGUGCUACUAUUCUUUUAGUCCUGUUUUGCGAUACAUAUGUAUGUCUGCACUUCAUCUAGUACUGUACUGUCUCGUUGUUAAAUCAUCAUGCGGUUCUGGUGUCAUCGGGGAUGAUAUUAGUGAUACCUCAAGCAUCUUGGCAACAUUGUUCAAACUAUCUCUGAGCAUAUAUCUUUGACCUAAUAAUAAAAUAACCAGGUUUUAGAUAUUUUGCACAUCCGAACGAAUGUCACAUCGUCCAAAUUAAGUUUGAAAGGCAACACUGCUGCAGCUAUUCUGACAACGAAUUAAAUUCCCCAAGUUCAUUUUACGAAUAAUAAUAUGCUAAUUUUCUCUAGUUUCCGAUCGUAUUAACUACAUACAGAUCGGUUUGAUUUAUGGUUGAGAGAUUAUAUGUUUUUUUCGAAAACCUAUGAGAGAUUACAUUAUACAGAGAGAAUUUAAAGCAGGAGAAGAAUACAUACCUCCUCGACGCUCCCAUCCUCAAUGUCAGCGUCGAAGGACUCGUCCAUGGUAUCGUACAGCAAUCCCUCCAGCUCGUCCUGGUCGAGUGGUCCAGUGCCUUCAGUAAUUCAAUCCACCGAUAGCGCACAAACGAAACAAACAAAAUCAAUCGUAUUUCAUCAGAAGAGGUGGAAUGGUUUCGAUUCCAGAUUUAAUUAAGUUUGAAAGACAACAAUAAUGCAAUGCGGCGGCGCGGGUGAACAAGGAGACGAGAGAUCGGUCGAGACCUCUGGCGGCGGCGCGGGUGAACCAGGAGAGGACGGAGGAGGCGAGCCGGUCGGCCUUGGCCUGCGAGUCAAGGCCGCCCCACCGGUUCUGCACCGCCAGCUGCAGCGCCGUCCACCUCCCGAACAGCAGGCCGAUGCACUCCGCCAUUGCCGUCGCCCCCUCCUUGGACAGCACCACCCUGCCGCCGGCCGUGCCGGAGGACGAGGAAGAGGCCAUGGCCCUCUGGGCAGACUGUGCGGGAGAGAACAGAUCGUGCUGCGUGAAAACGGCAACAGAGAAAACCGCGCGAUUUCCCUUCCUUUUUUUUUAUAAUUAAGUUGUGCGAGAGUUUGUGAGAGACGAGAGAUGAGAGAUGUAAGUCCUCCCGUCUUCGGCGCUCCCCGUCUCCAACCCUAGUAUUUCUCUUCCCGACUCCAAUCCCCACCUUCCCCAGGCCGACGGCGUCCCUCGGCUGUACGCCCAUCGCCCGUGCUACGCCGGCCCUAGGCCACGCCUUACUGAGCCAGUGCGCCGCCGCGGUGCUCUGCAAUCGGCAGACUGCUUCAGCAAUCAGCACCCAACCCUAGAACAAGUCUCCGCUAGUAUAUGCCGGAUUGCUAUCCUAUACUCUAAGUGCAUUUUUCUUUCUUUUAUCACCGAUCAGAUUGUUGUUUACUUCACGCCAUGGUAAGUCCGUGGAGCUCUGUUUCGAGUCUUGAAGAUGACGAAGAAAUAACUGUGGGAGCAAGUUCGCAGCAGCAGCAGCAGCAGCAGCAGAACGUGUCUGCUAAAGCUGGUUCGCGGAGACACAGAGGAAAGCGUGCAAGACCAGUGGAUCUUUCAUCUUCGAAUCUAUCAGCUUCAGCUUCUCGCAAGUCUGUGGCAUGCAAAAAAUUCAAGG
rnacentral:lncRNA from 1 species